AUGUUGGUAACUGAGUUUCCAACUCAGAGGAAGGAUGGGAAAGUUGCCUCUAUUAAUUCUAAAGUGUAUGAUAUGGUGAAUAGUGUGAAGAACAAUGGAUUUCAUGUUGUUUUUACAAAAUAUGUUGAUCUUAGUAAAAGGCCUGACAAGAAGUCAAAGAAAAAGGUGGAAAAUAGAAAGGUUGUGUUGAAGGCUAAAAUGGCUUCUUCCAAGAAGAACUAUACUCAUACAAAGGCAAAGAAGACUCCUAAGAAGAAUAAUAAAUAUGUAAUUUUUAUUAAGAAAUAA